GAUGAACGCUGGCGGCGUGCCUAAUACAUGCAAGUCGAGCGAACGGACGAGAAGCUUGCUUCUCUGAUGUUAGCGGCGGACGGGUGAGUAACACGUGGAUAACCUACCUAUAAGACUGGGAUAACUUCGGGAAACCGGAGCUAAUGCCGGAUAAUAUUUUGAACCGCAUGGUUCAAAAGUGAAAGACGGUCUUGCUGUCACUUAUAGAUGGAUCCGCGCUGCAUUAGCUAGUUGGUAAGGUAACGGCUUACCAAGGCAACGAUGCAUAGCCGACCUCAGAGGGUGAUCGGCCACCUGGGAACUGAGCCACGGUCCAGACUCCUACGGGAGGCAGCAGUAGGGAAUCUUCCGCAAUGGGCGAAAGCCUGACGGAGCAGCGCCGCGUGAGUGAUGAAGGUCUUCGGAUCGUAAAACUCUGUUAUUAGGGAAGAACAUAUGUGUAAGUAACUGUGCACAUCUUGACGGUACCUAAUCAGAAAGCCACGGCUAACUACGUG
rnacentral:rRNA from 1 species